rnacentral:lncRNA from 1 species
AGAAGAGGAAUUGCGAUGACCUUACUGAGGCUUGGAAAGGGUUUCAACACGUUACCAAAUAUGGCCAAUGUGGGGCGUGGGAUACAUUCUGCUGUGCGGAGGAGAGCGGGGGAUGAGUCUCCAAGUACGCACGGAUUUACAGGAACUUUAAGCUUAAGACAAAAACGUGGAAGACAACUCGCCUGGAUUCUUUCAAAACCGGAUGUAAAACAAUGCUUAAAUAUUUCAGAAUAUGUGACAUCAGAGUGUGUGACAAGCAGCCAACACAGGACCUCACGUUCAGAAUUAAAGACUUUAAGAAGCCACCUUCCACUCC